rnacentral:lncRNA from 1 species
AGAACACUCUUAGCACCCUACAAGCAGGUAUGUGCUUACCAGCAAACUAAAGCAAAUGGAAAUUAUGAAGCAUGAUCGCCACUAGCGAGGUGCUGCUGAACUAUAAGGCUUCAGAUGGUCAGAUAAAGUACCUGAUGCUGAAAAACAGGAAAUUGAAUCUUGUCUCCAAAAUGUGCCUUUUGUCAUGCACUGUUACAGCUAUAUUUCUUGUAACUACAUUCAGCCUGCAGCCAAGAUAAAGAAUUUUGUGAUACACACUUCAUCUUCCAUCUCUGCUUUCAAAAGAUGUGAAUUCUGCAAACCAGACAGAAGAGGGAGCUAUCCAUCUGGAAAUUAACCAAGCCUUUCAAAAACGUCAAAUAAAUAUAGAAGAAAAUUCUAAUAUAAUCAAGUCUUAUUUAGUCUUGUAUUUUAUAAAAACACUACAAUUUUUC